rnacentral:rRNA from 1 species
CGCGAGCUGGGUUUAGAACGUCGUGAGACAGUUCGGUCCCUAUCCGCUGCGCGCGAAGGAGACUUGAGAAGAGCUGCCCCUAGUACGAGAGGACCGGGGUGGACGUACCUCUAGUGUGCCGGUUGUCUUGCCAAGGGCACUGCCGGUUUGCUACGUACGGACGGGAUAAGCGCUGAAGGCAUCUAAGCGCGAAGCUCACUUCGAGAUGAGGUCUCCCAUCGGGACAACCGAGUAAGGCCCCCUGCUAGACGACAGGGUUGAUAGGCCGGAGGUGUAAGGGCAGCAAUGUCUUCAGCCGACCGGUACUAAUAGGCCGAGGACUUGCCG